GACGCCUGACCUUUAAGGCCCUUCGGGCUUCCGCUAACCCUUCUCGGCUGUGAGUCUACACAAAACGAACCCUACCCCUUCUACAUUACAAAGAGCGACAAAUUCAUAUGGCGUGCUUGUGAGGACAUCAAAGUGUGGCGGUCGAUAUGAAAGAUCGUCCUCCUCGGCACCUGCUUGUCCGUGUUUGCUGUAAGAACGUGACGAACUCCAGCGGAACCUGCUGCUGUUAGCGAGCGGACGCAGCUGUCGGUCCUCGUCCCGCUCCGUACCGAGAGCUCCAUCCACGGACGCACC
rnacentral:lncRNA from 1 species